rnacentral:rRNA from 1 species
GUUACUGCUAUUGGUGUUCGACUAAGCCAUGCAAGUCAUAUGUUCCUCGUGAACAUGGCAUACUGCUCAGUAACACGUGGAUAACCUGCCCUUGGGUCUGGGAUAACCCCGGGAAACUGGGGAUAAUACCGGAUAACGCAUAUGUGCUGGAAUGCUUUAUGCGUAAAACGGAUUCGUCCGCCCAAGGAUGGGUCUGCGGCCUAUCAGGUAGUAGUGGGUGUAAUGUACCUACUAGCCAACAACGGGUACGGGUUGUGAGAGCAAGAGCCCGGAGAUGGAUUCUGAGACAUGAAUCCAGGCCCUACGGGGCGCAGCAGGCGCGAAAACUUUACAAUGCGGGAAACCGUGAUAAGGGAACACCGAAUGCCAGCAUCAUAUGCUGGCUGUCCAGAUGUGUAAACUACAUCUGUUAGCAAGGGCCGGGCAAGACCGGUGCCAGCCGCCGCGGUAACACCGGCGGCCCGAGUGGUGACCGUUAUUAUUGGGUCUAAAGGGUCCGUAGCCGGUUUGGUCAGUCCUCCGGGAAAUCUGAUAGCUUAACUGUUAGGCUUUCGGGGGAUACUGCCAGGCUUGGAACCGGGAGAGGUAAGAGGUACUACAGGGGUAGGAGUGAAAUCUUGUAAUCCCUGUGAGACCACCUGUGGCGAAGGCGUCUUACCAGAACGGGUUCGACGGUGAGGGACGAAAGCUGGGGGCACGAACCGGAUUAGAUACCCGGGUAGUCCCAGCCGUAAACUAUGCUCGCUAGGUGUCAGGCAUGGCGCGACCGUGUCUGGUGCCGCAGGGAAGCCGUGAAGCGAGCCACCUGGGAAGUACGGCCGCAAGGCUGAAACUUAAAGGAAUUGGCGGGGGAGCACAACAACGGGUGGAGCCUGCGGUUUAAUUGGACUCAACGCCGGACAACUCACCGGGAACGACAGCAAUAUGUAGGCCAGGCUGAAGACCUUGCCUGAAUCGCUGAGAGGAGGUGCAUGGCCGUCGCCAGUUCGUACUGUGAAGCAUCCUGUUAAGUCAGG